rnacentral:rRNA from 1 species
UGGGGAAUUUUGGACAAUGGGCGAAAGCCUGAUCCAGCAAUGCCGCGUGUGUGAAGAAGGCCUUCGGGUUGUAAAGCACUUUUGUCCGGAAAGAAAUCCUUGGCUCUAAUACAGUCGGGGGAUGACGGUACCGGAAGAAUAAGCACCGGCUAACUACGUGCCAGCAGCCGCGGUAAUACGUAGGGUGCAAGCGUUAAUCGGAAUUACUGGGCGUAAAGCGUGCGCAGGCGGUUUGCUAAGACCGAUGUGAAAUCCCCGGGCUCAACCUGGGAACUGCAUUGGUGACUGGCAGGCUAGAGUAUGGCAGAGGGGGGUAGAAUUCCACGUGUAGCAGUGAAAUGCGUAGAGAUGUGGAGAAUAACGAUGGCGAAGGCAGCCCCCUGGGCCAAUACUGACGCUCAUGCACGAAAGCGUGGGGAGCAAACAGGAUUAGAUACCCUGGUAGUCCACGCCCUAAACGAUGUCAACUAGUUGUUGGGGAUUCAUUUCCUUAGUAACGUAGCUAACGCGUGAAGUUGACUGCCUGGGGAGUACGGUCGCAAGAUUAAAACUCAAAGGAAUUGACGGGGUC